UACGUACGAGGCGAGCGUUAUCCGGAAUUACUGGGCGUAAAGCGCGCGCAGGUGGCGUGCUAAGUCGGACGUGAAAUCUCCCGGCCUAACUGGGAGGGGUCGUUCGAGACUGGCAGGCUUGAGGACAGCAGAGGUGGGUGGAAUUCCUGGUGUAGUGGUGAAAUGCGUAGAGAUCAGGAGGAACACCGGUGGCGAAGGCGGCCCACUGGGCUGUCACUGACGCUGAGGCGCGAAAGCUCGGGGAGCGAACGGG
rnacentral:rRNA from 1 species